rnacentral:rRNA from 1 species
CGAACGGGUGAGUAACGCGUGAGCAACCUGCCUAUGACAGUGGGAUAGCCUCGGGAAACCGGGAUUAAUACCGCAUAAAAUCGUAGAAACACAUGUUUCAACGGUCAAAGAUUUAUCGGUCAUAGAUGGGCUCGCGUCUGAUUAGCUAGUUGGUGAGAUAACAGCCCACCAAGGCGACGAUCAGUAGCCGGUCUGAGAGGAUGAACGGCCACAUUGGAACUGAGACACGGUCCAAACUCCUACGGGAGGCAGCAGGG